GAGUAACACGUGGGUAACCUGCCUGUAAGACUGGGAUAACUCCGGGAAACCGGGGCUAAUACCGGAUGGUUGUUUGAACCGCAUGGUUCAAACAUAAAAGGUGGCUUCGGCUACCACUUACAGAUGGACCCGCGGCGCAUUAGCUAGUUGGUGAGGUAACGGCUCACCAAGGCAACGAUGCGUAGCCGACCUGAGAGGGUGAUCGGCCACACUGGGACUGAGACACGGCCCAGACUCCUACGGGAGGCAGCAGUAGGGAAUCUUCCGCAAUGGACGAAAGUCUGACGGAGCAACGCCGCGUGAGUGAUGAAGGUUUUCGGAUCGUAAAGCUCUGUUGUUAGGGAAGAACAAGUACCGUUCGAAUAGGGCGGUACCUUGACGGUACCUAACCAGAAAGCCACGGCUAACUACGUGCCAGCAGCCGCGGUAAUACGUAGGUGGCAAGCGUUGUCCGGAAUUAUUGGGCGUAAAGGGCUCGCAGGCGGUUUCUUAAGUCUGAUGUGANANCCCCCGGCUCANCCGGGGAGGGUCAUUGGAAACUGGGGAACUUG
rnacentral:rRNA from 1 species